CACGCGAGGGGCGCGCGGGCUGUCCCGGGGGCUGAUCGCUGGGCCAGGAGGGUCAGCCCCCUCACGCACCCAACUCUGGGCCCUGCGAACGGUCCCUUGCCGUACGCCCUGGGGACGCCGCGUCCCGCACGCUCAGGGACCUGGGGACACUCGCCUGGGGGCGGGGGCCGUGCUGCGGAGCCGCCCACGCCGAGCUUCAGGAGCUGGAGUCGGCAGGAUGGGUGUCGGGACAUGCUGAUCUCCCCGUGAGACAGUAUGGAAAAUUACAAACGCACAGGAGUGGAGAGACUGGUGUGACGCAUCUCCACGCACCCUCACCAGCUCCCACCGUGAAGUCACAGUCUAGAAGUAGAGUCGUUGUCUUCCAUCUGUAACCUUCUCUACAUGUGCUACUGUAAAUGGUGUCGCCUUAAA